UUUCAUUUUUGACAAAAACCAUCUGAAAAGUGACAUUUUUCAGCAUAUUUGGUAGAUUUUUCAUAUUUGAGCUUAAAUCAGAUCGUUUUUAAUGACUAAAUCAGUUAAAAUCUUUCACAUUAACUAAUUGAAUCAAAUGAAAUAGACACUUAAGUGUUUAAAAAGUGGUCAAAAUCUUUUGUCAGAUAAAACUGAAAUUUGAGACCAAAAUCGGUCCUUACAGGACCUACUCCUUUACCAGGUUCAGGGUUACAAAUGGGUUUUACAAAACAAGAGGUUCAAAAUUGCCAACAUUAGCUAAUUUCAGGGGAGAUUCUUUUCCAAACAAUUUUAUAAGCUUGACGAUGCUGAUGCUAUGUGUUCAUAGCCUGUUCUUCGUCCUCUUUAGAGAUUAGGAUUGCCAAUUUUACCAACAGUGGUAUUAAACACCAACAAUCAAUAAAUCAUACAGCAGUAAAACCUGGCUAAUAUAAUGUAACUCACAAGUGCCUAGUGAGAAUAAUGGUCAACUAAAUAUAUAAGGUGAGCUAAAAUAUAAAGAAUAUAGAAUAAUAGUGAGCCAAAAUAUAAAAAAGUGAAUAAUAGUGAGCAAAAAUAUAAAGAAUAUAGAAUAAUAGUGAGCUAAAAUAUAAAGAAUAUAGAAUAAUAGUGAGCCAAAAUAUGAAGAAGAGAAUAAUAGUGAGCCAAAAUAUAAAGAAGAGAAUAAUAGUGAGCCAAAAUUUAAAGAAGAGAAUAAUAGUGAGCUAAAAUAUAAAGAAUAUAAAAUAAUAGUGAGCCAAAAUAUGAAGAAGAGAAUAAUAGUGAGCAAAAAUUUAAAGAAGAGAAUAAUAGUGUGAGCAAAAAUAUAAAGAAGAGAAUAAUGGUGAGCCAAAAUAUAAAGAAGAGAAUAAUAGUGAGCACAAAUUUAAAGAAGAGAAUAAUAGUGAGCUAAAAUAUAAAGAAUAUAAAAUAAUAGAGAGCCAAAAUAUGAAGAAGAGAAUAAUAGUGAGCAAAAAUAUAAAGAAGAGAAUAAUAGUGAGCAAAAAUAUAAAGAAGAGAAUAAUGGUGAGCCAAAAUAUAAAGAAGAGAAUAAUAGUGAGCAAACAUUUAAAGAAGAUAAUAAUAUUGAGCUAAAAUAAAGAAUAUAGAAUAAUAGUGAGCUUAAAUAUAAAGUAUAUAGAAUAAUGGUGAGCUAAAUAUAAAGAAUAUAGAAUAAUGACAAAUGAAAAAAAAAACAACAGAGUAAAAUGAGGUAAAAAAAAUAAAAGGAUGAAGAAAUAAAUAACCCCUACCCCUCUCCCUUCAUCCAGCCUACAUUUAUUGACCAUCAUAUUCAUGAAUUAUAUUCAUACAUUAUAUCUUAUAUAAGGUUGAAAAUUGUAUUGAAAUUUCAUAUCCUGGAUACUUUUGAUUAAUGAAGUCAUUGUUGUGCUGUCUCAUAGAUUCAUCACAUCUCCUUAUAUUUAAAUUUAUUAUUUCAAACAAAC
rnacentral:lncRNA from 1 species